CGAGCCGUCUUUGAAUGCACCAUGAGCGCAUGCUAACGCAGGUGUUCCACAGGAGACGUGCUGCUGUGCUGAGCAGUGCUGAACGUGCGUCUGGAGUAAUGUUUAGCAAACCAGCCAGAGCUAGCAAGAAGCAAAAAACUUUACACAGUUCUUUCCAAACAAACCGUAAAGAGCAGAGUCAGGGAGGAGAUGGAUCAGAGGCCAGCAGCAGGGACAAGGAUGUA